ensembl:lncRNA
UUCAUAUUAGAUCUGACAGUAUGAAUGGUUCUUAUGGUUGUAUUCAGUUCUUCAUAUUAGAUCUGACAGUAUGAAUGGUUCUUAUGGUUGUAUUCAGUUCUUCAUAUUAGAUCUGACAGUAUGAAUGGUUCUUAUGGUUGUAUUCGGAUCUUCCAUAUUAGAUCUGACAGUAUGAGCAAGGCAGUUAACCCCCUAACAACUGCUCCCCGGGUGCUGAUGACUUCAAUUAAGGCAGCCCCCACCCCACCUCUGAUUCAGAGGGGUUGGGUUAAAUGUGGAAGACACAUUUUGGUUAAAUGCAUUUCCCUUUCCCCACACCAGAGUUCUCCAAGACUAUUUACAUAAUGGACAUUUCAACAGUUUGACCAUCAAUAGUCUUGGGCAUUUACUGAGCUGUAACCAUGGACCAUGGAAAAGGUCUGUUGAAAUGAAUACUGUAGUGGUGUGAGGAAGGUAACACAAGGUUCCAUUCCCCAAUAGUAACUAUUGAGAGAAACCGAUGAGUGAAUAAUAGAGCCUGUAAUUGUCAAUGUAACUCCUGACCACAUACCUAUAAUGUAACAUGAUGAAACUUAGGUUUUCAGAUAUGUGUUUUUUUUUUUUUUAAACCUCCUAAUGGGUGGAUUCAUUACGCCGAUUUUGUUGGAAAACGUUUUGCAUCAGAAACCGUUUACUCCCAUUUUUUUUUUUUUUUUUGCAAGGACAAGGAGCGUUUCUAUUGGACAAAUUCAGGUAGGUCCCUCCCAAUUUCGCUCCAUUUGCUCUGUUUUUGCUUUUUAAAUGGUAAACGGUUUCCGUGGCAAGACGUAAUGAAUACACCCCAGUUCUUAGUUGUAGUGCCUUUCACCUCUUUGAACCCAUCCUUCCAGUGGGAUAAAGAUGAUACAUUUUUGUAAGUAGGGCUGGGCGGUAUACCGUAUUUUACGACGUACUGGUAUUGUUGCACGGACCCGUUUGGGUUUUAAUUUAAUUUUAAUGUUUGAUUUGUUAAAUGGGAUACGCCCUGUGUAACAUCCAUUUUUUUCUAUUUUACUUCGCUUCUCUUCAUGCCGCUUUCCACACAGACCUAGCCCCGCCCCCUGUCACCCGAGGAGGCAUUUGUUGUUCCUCGACCAUGAGACACUUGUGUUCCGUCUGCAGGGUCAAUGCAACAAUGUUGAUGACAACGAUGCUGUUUUCUCUUUACUUCUUAAUAUAAACCACUAGCGUUCUAAAAUUACACAACUGGUUCGUGUUUUCUUAGCAAGUUGGGCCUAAAUAUUGUUAGCCGCUAAUCGCUAGCUAGCAAUCUAAUAAAUGUACUGAGUCAGAGCAAACGUAAUUAGCUAUGCAGCCUGAUAAUACCAGUGAUGCUGUAGUCCUGAAUCGGCAUGUUUGGACAACAGUAUCUUAAAAAUCAAAAAGGAAUAUGUGAAGCAAGAAUGUUAGCUACAUGAAGUAGCUAAGAGAACACUGGUUCCUACUCUGUCACAAUAACUGCUCCCUGGCAUUUUAAUUUGUCGUGUCAAACACUGUAUUCAAAGAGCCCACUAUUAUAU